rnacentral:rRNA from 1 species
CUUAGUUGAUGGCGACCGGCGCACGGGUGAGUAACGCGUAUGUAACUUACCUAUCAGAGGGGGAUAGCCCGGCGAAAGGUCGGAUUAAUACUCCAUAAAACAGGGGUUCCGCAUGGGACUAUUUGUUAAAGAUUUAUCGCUGAUAGUAUAGGCAUGCGUUCCAUUAGGCAGUUGGCGGGGUAACGGCCCACCAAACCGACGAUGGAUAGGGGUUCUGAGAGGAAGGUCCCCCACAUUGGUACUGAGACACGGACCAAACUCCUACGGGAGGCAGCAGUGAGGAAUAUUGGUCAAUGGCCGAGAGGCUGAACCAGCCAAGUCGCGUGAAGGAUGAAGGAUCUAUGGUUUGUAAACUUCUUUUAUAGGGGAAUAAAGUGUGGGACGUGUCCCAUUUUGUAUGUACCCUAUGAAUAAGCAUCGGCUAACUCCGUGCCAGCAGCCGCGGUAAUACGGAGGAUGCGAGCGUUAUCCGGAUUUAUUGGGUUUAAAGGGUGCGUAGGUGGUAAUUUAAGUCAGCGGUGAAAGUUUGUGGCUCAACCAUAAAAUUGCCGUUGAAACUGGGUUACUUGAGUGUGUUUGAGGUAGGCGGAAUGCGUGGUGUAGCGGUGAAAUGCAUAGAUAUCACGCAGAACUCCAAUUGCGAAGGCAGCUUACUAAACCAUAACUGACACUGAAGCACGAAAGCGUGGGUAUCAAACAGGAUUAGAUACCCUGGUAGUCCACGCAGUAAACGAUGAUUACUAGGAGUUUGCGAUACACAGUAAGCUCUACAGCGAAAGCGUUA